rnacentral:rRNA from 1 species
AGAGUUUGAUCCUGGCUCAAGAUGAACGCUGGCGGCGUGCUUAACACAUGCAAGUCGAGCGAAGCGCUCAUGCGGAAUUUUUCGGAAGGAAGCGGGAGCGACUUAGCGGCGGACGGGUGAGUAACGCGUGGGUAACCUGCCCCAUACCGGGGGAUAACGGUUAGAAAUGACCGCUAAUACCGCUUAAGCGCACGUGGCCGCAUGGCCACGCGCGAAAAACUCCGGUGGUAUGGGAUGGGCCCGCGUCUGAUUAGCUAGUUGGCGGGGUAAAGGCCCACCAAGGCGACGAUCAGUAGCCGACCUGAGAGGGUGGCCGGCCACAUUGGGACUGAGACACGGCCCAAACUCCUACGGGAGGCAGCAGUGGGGAAUAUUGCGCAAUGGGGGAAACCCUGACGCAGCAACGCCGCGUGAGUGAAGAAGUAUCUCGGUAUGUAAAGCUCUAUCAGCGGGGAAGAAGGAAGACGGUACCCGACUAAGAAGCCCCGGCUAACUACGUGCCAGCAGCCGCGGUAAUACGUAGGGGGCGAGCGUUAUCCGGAUUUACUGGGUGUAAAGGGAGCGUAGACGGCGUCCCAAGUCUGAAGUGAAAGCCCGUGGCUCAACCGCGGAACCGCUUUGGAAACUGCGAGGCUGGAGUGCUGGGAGAGGGUAGCCGAAUUCCUGGGUGUAGCGGUGAAAAUGCCUAAAUAUCAGGAGGAAACACCGGGGGGGCGAAAGGCGGCUUACUUGGACAGUGACUGACCGUUGACGCUUCAAAGCCUGGGGGGAGCGAAACAGGAUUAAAAUACCCUGGGUAGUCC